rnacentral:tRNA from 1 species
CAGAAAAUAGUUUAAUUAAAAUAUUA